rfam:Stegodyphus mimosarum contig29509, whole genome shotgun sequence.
GCCUUCGUGGUGUAGUGGUCAGCACGCUCGGCGCGUAUUCGAGAGGUCCGUGGUUCGAGUCCCGGUGAGGGCA